GAGGCGCUCAAAGGUUCUCUCAGUACGGUCGGAAAUCGUACGUAGAGUGUAAAGGCAAAAGAGAGCUUGAUUGCAAGACAUACAGGUCGAGCAAGGAUGAAAAUCGGACUUAGUGAUCCGGUGGUUCUGCGUGGAAGGGCCAUCGCUCAACGGAUAAAAGCUACCCUGGGGAUAACAGGCUUAUCUCCCCCAAGAGUCCACAUCGACGGGGAGGUUUGGCACCUCGAUGUCGGCUCAUCACAUCCUGGGGCUGUAGUAGGUCCCAAGGGUUGGGCUGUUCGCCCAUUAAAGUGGUACGCGAGCUGGGUUCAGAACGUCGUGAGACAGUUCGGUCCCUAUCCGUCGCAGGCGUAGGAAAUUUGAGAAGACCU
rnacentral:rRNA from 1 species